rnacentral:rRNA from 1 species
GACGAACGCUGGCGGCGUGCUUAACACAUGCAAGUCGAACGGUAAGGCCCCUCGGGGUACACGAGUGGCGAACGGGUGAGUAACACGUGGGUGAUCUGCCCUGCACUUCGGGAUAAGCCUGGGAAACUGGGUCUAAUACCGGAUAGGACCACUGCCUGCAUGGGUGGUGGUGGAAAGCUUUUGCGGUGUGGGAUGGGCCCGCGGCCUAUCAGCUUGUUGGUGGGGUGAUGGCCUACCAAGGCGACGACGGGUAGCCGGCCUGAGAGGGUAACCGGCCACACUGGGACUGAGAGACGGCCCAGACUCCUACGGGAGGCAGCAGUGGGGAAUAUUGCACAAUGGGCGCAAGCCUGAUGCAGCGACGCCGCGUGAGGGAUGACGGCCUUCGGGUUGUAAACCUCUUUCAGCACCGACGAAGCGCAAGUGACGGUAGGUGCAGAAGAAGGACCGGCCAACUACGUGCCAGCCGCCGCGGUAA